GACGAACCAUGCAAACGUUAUUCGGAAUCACUGGGCUUAAAGCGUGCGUAGGCGGUUCAGAAAGUUGGGUGUGAAAUACCUCGGCUCAACCGAGGAAUUGCGCCCAAAACUACUGGGCUUGAGGGAGUUAGAGGUGAGCGGAACUCACGGUGGAGCGGUGAAAUGCGUUGAUAUCGUGAGGAACACCGGAGGCGAAAGCGGCUCACUGGGGCUUCACUGACGCUGAGGCACGAAAGCUAGGGGAGCAAACGGG
rnacentral:rRNA from 1 species